UCACAAUGACGAAUGAAGAACCUCUCCCAAAGAAGGUUCGCCUUAGUGAAGCAGAUUUUAAGGUUUUACCUAGAGAUGAGCUCAUCCUAAGGUGGAAACAGUAUGAAGCAUAUGUGCAAGCUCUGGAGGGCAAGUACACAGACCUUAAUUCUAAUGAUGUGACGGGAUUGAGAGAAUCCGAAGAGAAGUUGAAACAGCAACAGCAAGAGUCUGCCCGAAGAGAAAAUAUUCUGGUGAUGAGGCUGGCAACUAAGGAACAGGAGAUGCAAGAGUGUACUAAUCAGAUUCAGUACCUCAAGCAAGUCCAGCAGCCUAGUGUUGCCCAACUGCGAUCAACAAUGGUGGACCCAGCCAUCAACUUGUUUUUCCUAAAAAUGAAAGGUGAACUGGAACAGACUAAAGACAAACUGGAACAAGCCCAAAAUGAACUGAGUGCCUGGAAAUUUACGCCUGAUAGAGGCCUGACGGCGUCGGACUAUUCUGAAGAAAUGGCCAUCUUCGAAAAAAAAUCUUUUCUAGAACAUGUAGACAUUUGCAAAAUUGUUCUAUUUGAAGAAAAUAGAGGGAGAAACAGAAGUCUUAAGUCUGUGGCACACUGUGUCUACAGACAGUUUGGAGGAGAGAGAACCUAGAGAUUAUAAAUCAUGAAUUGAACAUGUAAAAUUCCCGUAAAAUGUAGAAGUGGAAUAUGCUUCACUCUUAACCUUGAGCCUAGUGACUUAGAGACACUGUAAGUCAGUUUUGCCAAUAAGACUGUGGACUUCCUGCUUGUUCACUGAACUGCUGGGUCAAAACUCAAUGAGGUGAAUUUUGCGUUAAAGAGUUUACUUGCUAACCAGUUUUGAAUAGCCACGAGAGGUGCUAUUUGAUAUCACAACAGUGGUAGUGUACACAUUUGACUGUUUAGCCUUUGGGCUCUCUAGCACUUGACGGAGCCUUAAAUCACUGUUGCUAAAUAAUGAACUGUUUUCUGGAUGGUUGGUGAUACCGUGGACGCCUCAAAAUUAGGACUGUACAAAAAUGAGUUAACAUGAAGAAAUUAAUGGGAUUCUAAAAUUGUCCCAAUUCCAAGGUGACUGGUACUUUCUAAUUCUACAGUUGAUGUUGUUUUGUGAAGAGAAAAGCAUUAAAUGACUUAAGCACCGUGAACUUCUUCAACUUUUAGUGAUGAUGAAUACAGUAAAAGGAAUUUGCAAAUGGCUAAAAAUCACUGCAUGUCUGCCUAAUAACUUUUGGGAUAUGUUACAUUGGUUAUCUCCAAAGCGGUCCUGCUUUACACAGAAUGAACAUCUCUAAGGAAACUUGCAUCUUAAGUGUGCGACUUGGACUGUAUUAGGUCAGCACAAUUUAAACUUCAAGGACCUGCCAUUGGACAUCACAUCAAGAAAGAAAACAGGUUGCUGCCUUUAGCAGAGUUGCAGGCUUCCAGGACUUUACACAGCCAGAUUCCUUCUGGAGCAGCCCAUCUGAAAGAUUUGGGAGAGUCAGUCGGAAAAUGUUAAAUGGGGCAGAGUUGCCAGAACUUAAAAGUUGUCUAAGGCUUGAAUGCUUAAAAGGUAGUUGAUAAGGAAAUUACUAUUUUAAAUUCUUUUGGUUGGGUAUUUUGGUUGCAGGAGAGAACCGUGGCUGUGAAUUGUAGCAGAAAUUUCCUGUUCUACUUUUUUAAUCCUCAAAAUUUCUUUCAAUCUUUGUCAGUUGUUUAAAAGCAAACAAAAAAUUAAAUGACCUGCUUGGUCUUGAAAAGUAGUGCAAGUCCUGCCAUGGAAUUCACAAUAAACCUUUUCAAGUUUGGGUGGUUUUUUUUUUUGGUAGAGCUUACACUGCUGUAGACAGCUUUAUUAUGUUGCUGAGCCUAUUAAAAGGAGACAACUGUUUGUGGUUGCUAUCCUGACUUUGGCAGACCAAGACACUUAAAGGACUUGAAUUUUUCUCUUAUGGAGUCAGCUGUAUUGCCUAUAUAUUAAUUUGCAUAGUACUUCCUAUAAUGCUUUACAAUGCAAUUUUUAUCGCGAAGAUUAAAGAUGUGUGAUGUUUUCCAUUUAGUAAAGAAAAUCUUGUCAGUGCGAAAUUUUUUUCCUGCCUGUUUCCAAAUUUUUUCAGAAACUGGAGAUCUUAAUGAUCAUUACUCAUGAUUGGAAAUCUCUCAUUCUAAAGGAAGUAGAUUAAUAACAUGCUCUUUAAUUUCCUUCCAAUUUUUAAUGACAUUUUACUUUUUCCUGACUAUGCAAGAUGCACUUAGGAAAAGCUGACCAUAGAAAUCAUGAAACAGACUGUGUACAUUACUGUCAAAUAUAUAAAUUGAGUUGAAAAAUAGACAUGUAAGUUUUUAAACAAGAGUACCUGGACAGCAUUCAAAAGAAUGUCUGAACCUCUUAAAGAAGAAUGGGUGUCAUUAGGAAGAAUGAACAUGGGAUUUAAUACUUCAUCCCAAGCAACUUUCUUCCCUUCACCAAAAUUUAAUUAUUAAAUUUUACUAGUGCAAUAAAUGUUUUUUGUUUAUAAUUCUGUUUAUACAUGUAAUUUUCAUGCAGUACUUGAUCUUUUGACUUAUAAGGCACAUCUUUAAUCAAAUACUUAUCUCUUUUGAGAAUUAGCACAUGCAAGACUGUGCAUACUGAUAAUCCAGAUGUUGGUAU